GAUGAACGCUGGCGGCGUGCUUAACACAUGCAAGUCGAACGAUGAAGCCCAGCUUGCUGGGUGGAUUAGUGGCGAACGGGUGAGUAACACGUGAGUAACCUGCCCUUGACUCUAGGAUAAGCCCGGGAAACUGGGUCUAAUACUGGAUAGGAACGUCUACCGCAUGGUGGGUGUUGGAAAGAAUUUCGGUCAUGGAUGGACUCGCGGCCUAUCAGCUUGUUGGUGAGGUAAUGGCUUACCAAGGCGACGACGGGUAGCCGGCCUGAGAGGGUGACCGGCCACACUGGGACUGAGACACGGCCCAGACUCCUACGGGAGGCAGCAGUGGGGAAUAUUGCACAAUGGGCGAAAGCCUGAUGCAGCGACGCCGCGUGAGGGAUGACGGCCUUCGGGUUGUAAACCUCUUUCAGUAGGGAAGAAGCGAAAGUGACGGUACCUGCAGAAGAAGCACCGGCUAACUACGUG
rnacentral:rRNA from 1 species